GGCUUGGGCUUCAAAUAAUCAAUUUUAUGGGCUUUUUGGGAGAUAAGAAAGCCCAUUAAUCUAACCAUAAAUUUCAGUACCCAUUUUCAUUUUUUUCUGGUUCUAGAUCAAUUUCAUUGAGCACUCUCGAAGAUAUCAAGAUGGGGUUCAUAAUGGAAUUUGCGGAGAAUUUGGUGUUGCGAUUGAUGGAGGAUCCAAACGAGAGAGACAGGAAAGCGAGGGAGAGAUUGUACGAGCGGAAGGAGCAGUGCAAGAAGACUCUGGAGAUGCAUCGGUUGCCCCUGCGCCCCUAUGGCUUCUGGACAUUUGAGCGCCACAACGCUCAGAUCUUCUGGGAUGAGCAGAUUAGCAAUGUCCAAGGCCGCCGGGACCCUUACGACGAGCUCAUUGAGGAAUACUCCAAAUAAAUUGGGACAUUUGGGUGUAUAGUGUGGGGUGACCUCUGUUGAAGACAAUGCUUAUGCAUAUUGUAGUUGGUGUUCACAGGCAGUGUUCUGUGAGACUUGAAUUUAUUUUCUUCAGUUUGAUUGUUGUAAUAAAUUACAUCGACAAAAGUUAACUCAGUUGGCUACUACUUUUUCUGCACUUUGUUUGCAUUCCAAAUUCAUGCGUCAUUCCGCAGAUUAUAUGAUCCUCUGUUUUAUUUCAA